ensembl:lncRNA
GACUUUAAUAACUGCUUAGAGUUGAAUACAACUAAAUGUAAAAUAGGACUUUUUAUUUUCUGCAAGUGCAAUGUCUUAACCAUUUUAUGUCCUCAAAAAGAAUAAAGUAUUUUUUCUUUGCAUUUAUCUAUUCAUUCGGUUAUUUAUGAUAACAAUAAAAAAAAAAAGAAUCUGGACACACAGUUAUUUCAGGCCAGACGGUUGAGAUGUCGCUUGGAGGAAAAAAUACCAAAAUACUUAAAAGCAGAAUGAGUCAAAUAAAAUUCUAAAGUAAUAAAGCAAUGGCAGCAUAAUUUGUAGAAACACUUCACAGUGCAGAGUUUUGGUGAUAUUCCAUUUCACUUUCAUUCUAACAUUUGAGCCACUCGGCAGGAUGAAGAUCCUGUUCCUCAGUCGCUCACACAGAGAUUCCAAGUCUUUUUGUUUUCUUUAUUAGUUUUAUAUUUUAUAAAACACAACUGCAUCUAUAUUUAGUUUGUGAACUUGUUGCGCAUCCUGGUAGAGGUAAAAACUGUGCGAUCUCCCCGUCACCCAUGCAUCAUUACCCCGUGUCAAUUGCACCCGUGUGCCCUUAUGUAGACUCCCUGUCACAGUAAUACACAACAAUAAACCUGAGAUUGGCCCAGUGUUGUACACAAAUAUCACGAAUGGCUCCCAGGAGUCAGAUGAUAAAUCUGAGGGGGUUUGAUUGCAAUUAACGCCAUGGGGCAGUGAUGUUAAGGCUGGAUGUCUUUCCUGACACUGGAUAUAUUACAACAGAGCUGAAAUUGAGAGCAAACUGAAAGAAAUGUCAUAGGGAGAGGGAAAAAAGUUUAAAAAGAAACUUUGCCAGUUGUUGUGAAUGCCUGAAUAAAAUACUGGGGCAAUGUGAUGUCCUGGAUAGAAAGAUUAAAAUAAUUAUACGAAAAACCCCUUUUUAACGAGAUAAUAGCGAAGCACGCGAAAACUUAACUUAAAUGUAUAAAUAUUUCAAAGCUGGUUGAACAGAAGUGGUUUUGCGGAAAAGCUAUGGCCCUUUCUCAAUCUUAAGUGGACUUUUUUGUGUUUUGAGGGAAGAGUUAAGAUUCAUAACUUGAUGUUAAAAAUGAGCCUUAACGUCUUGUCUGUAUCCACGGUGUCCACGUGUUGUAUUAUCUAGCAUUGUGCAUUAAAACUAACAUUGUUUGAAUUAAAGGAGAAUGUAAGAGUUCACCUCUAGCAUCAAUGAUCACUUUAUAAUAUAUAUUAAAUACUAUGAGUUUAUUCACUAACGAUGCCACCGAUCUAACUUGAGAAUCCUUGAUCCCUGUUAAUCAUGAUGUCACCCAGAGAGGGCAGUAUUGCUGUUGCUUGUAUUUGAAAUACGUAUUUCAAUUACUUUUGAGUAUUUUUUGUUGUGUUUUUAAAAGUUAGUUGAUACAAAGCUAAAGUUUAACCGCUGUUAAGUCCCAUUAUAAUAUAUAUAUAUAUAUAUAUAUACACAUAUAUAUACACAUAUAUAUAUACACAUAUAUAUACACAUAUACAUACACAUAUAUAUAUACACAUAUACAUAUACAUACACAUAUAUAUAUAUACACAUAUACACAUAUAUAUACACAUAUACACAUAUACACAUACAUAUAUAAACAUACAUAUAUAUACAUACAUAUAUAUACAUACAUAUAUAUACAUACAUAUAUAUAUAUACAUACAUAUACAUACAUACAUAUAUAUACAUACAUAUAUAUAUACAUACAUAUACAUACAUACAUAUACAUACAUACAUAUAUAUACAUACAUAUAUAUAUACAUACAUAUAUAUAUACAUACAUAUAUAUAUACAUAUAUAUAUAUAUAUACAUACAUAUAUAUACAUACAUAUAUAUACAUAUACAUAUAUGUA